CGCGGAAUUUAGAAGCACAGCAGAGGAAAGAGGCCGAUGCUCAAAAGAAGAAAGAGCAGGCACUGAAAAAGAAAGAAGAUGCACUGAAGAGAAGAGAAGCAGAUGCCCAUAAGAAAAAAGAAGUAGAGGAAAAUAAGAGGGCAGAAGCUGAAGCAAGGAGGAAAGGGAAUGAGGAAAAAGGCCAGCCAAAGAAGUGAGGUAGAAAGCCUAGAGGUGUUCAGCAACUGAAACCAAGUGUCCCUUCUGAUCUGGUGGAAGAACUUGCUGAAGAUGUUGUUAAGAUUCCUCUUGUGAAAUUCAAA
rnacentral:lncRNA from 1 species